rnacentral:rRNA from 1 species
AUUGAACGCUGGCGGCAUGCUUUACACAUGCAAGUCGAACGGUAACAGGCCGCAAGGUGCUGACGAGUGGCGAACGGGUGAGUAAUGCAUCGGAACGUGCCCAGUCGUGGGGGAUAACGCAGCGAAAGCUGCGCUAAUACCGCAUACGAUCUAUGGAUGAAAGCGGGGACCGUAAGGCCUCGCGCGAUUGGAGCGGCCGAUGUCAGAUUAGGUAGUUGGUGGGGUAAAGGCUCACCAAGCCAACGAUCUGUAGCUGGUCUGAGAGGACGACCAGCCACACUGGGACUGAGACACGGCCCAGACUCCUACGGGAGGCAGCAGUGGGGAAUUUUGGCCAAUGGGCGCAAGCCUGAUCCAGCAAUGCCGCGUGCAGGAAGAAGGCCUUCGGGUUGUAAACUGCUUUUGUACGGAACGAAAAGGCUCUGGAUAAUACCUGGGGCUCAUGACGGUACCGUAAGAAUAAGCACCGGCUAACUACGUGCCAGCAGCCGCAGUAACAC